rnacentral:rRNA from 1 species
GAUGAACGCUAGCUACAGGCUUAACACAUGCAAGUCGAGGGGAAACGACAUCGAAAGCUUGCUUUUGAUGGGCGUCGACCGGCGCACGGGUGAGUAACGCGUAUCCAACCUGCCCAUCACUUGGGAAUAACCUUGCGAAAGUAAGACUAAUACCCAAUGAUAUCCCACGAAGGCAUCGGAAUGGGAUUAAAGAUUUAUCGGUGAUGGAUGGUGAUGCGUCUGAUUAGCUUGUUGGCGGGGUAACGGCCCACCAAGGCAACGAUCAGUAGGGGUUCUGAGAGGAAGGUCCCCCACAUUGGAACUGAGACACGGUCCAAACUCCUACGGGAGGAAGCAGUGAGGAAUAUUGGUCAAUGGGCGAGAGCCUGAACCAGCCAAGUAGCGUGCAGGAAGACGGCCCUAUGGGUUGUAAACUGCUUUUAUAAGGGAAUAAAGUGGGUCACGUGUGACUUUUUGCAUGUACCUUAUGAAUAAGGACCGGCUAAUUCCGUG